UGGGACUCGAGCCUGGCUGACAAUCCUAUUUCGGAGUGGCCAAGUUUCCACCUAUACUUCCAAGGAACAGCACAUCGGAUUGCGAUUUGCGGAUGACCUCUUGGCAGCGCGUCCGGACUUGCCAUCACUUGAAGCAGCAAGGCUACAACGAUUCUCCCGGUACUUCGCGAGCUUCUGGAUCAAAAAUGCUGCCGUCAAGGACACAUGGGGUCAGUUCAACAAUACCGGGUCUCGAACCGCAAACACGGUGGAAGAUUGACAUAACGGCCUACUAAGGCGAAUCCGACAGACGUUUUGUCCCUUCAAUGGGUCCCCGGUCAUGUGGUGCUGUCCGGUAACUCACGCGCAGACAAGGCUGCAAGACGCCCUGACGCAGCUGUCACUCGUGCCACUACACGUGUGCCCUUACCGUUUCGGCUUGCCGCCUAUCAGCCGCCGGCGUGCUGCCCGUGCCCAAGCGUUCGGAUCUGAAGUUGCCCAUCAGUCACAUGCAGUCCAUCGACCCCUCACUUGCCUUCUUCAUUGCGUGUCACUGCACUCGCCACGAGGAAUCACUUCUGCACCGCCUCCGUCUCAACGUUGCUCGCACUCCAUUGCUUCUCUACAAAAUGGGCCAAUCCAACUCCUCACUACGUGCUGCAUUACCAGCAGCACCUUCCUCAACGACAAGCCCUCCGUUGCCGUCUAAUGCAGCUUGGGCGCAGCGCAAUGUCCAUGGCCACCCUCAUUGGUCCCGUCCCGUCCCGUCCCUUGGCGUACCCAGUGGGCCGUCACCACAGCCCUGCUCUGUUUCCUGCAAGACCGGGCUUUCUCGUGUGGAAACUUCCUGAUUCCCUUGGACUUGACCUGGACAUUGGCCCUUCUUGGAGGUCUCCAUUUAGAGCUCCUACCCCGUGUGUCCUAAUCCUUUGCCAGUGAGGGUUCUAUUACGUGUGCCCUGACGGGAUGACGCCGAAUUCUGAUCUCGCCGAGCAGGGGCCUGCUGGAAGUUUGCUUGGUUAAUGGUCACAUAUACUUAGUGGAGUUAUGUGGUAUAUCUCUUCGUCAUCUUUUUGGGACUUGCGUUUAGAUUACUCCUAUCACACAGCUCCGGCUUGCGUAGUGUGCGGGGUUUUGGUGAUUCAUGUCACAUAGCGGCGACUUGCCGCAUUGACCAGUGACUUUUUGCGUUCAAGGAUAAAUAGUAUCUUAAUUGUAUUUCAAAUACUUUUCG